UACGAAGGGGGCUAGCGUUGCUCGGAAUCACUGGGCGUAAAGCGCACGUAGGCGGAUCUUUAAGUCAGGGGUGAAAUCCUGGAGCUCAACUCCAGAACUGCCUUUGAUACUGGGGAUCUCGAGUCCGGAAGAGGUGAGUGGAACUCCGAGUGUAGAGGUGAAAUUCGUAGAUAUUCGGAAGAACACCAGUGGCGAAGGCGGCUCUCUAGUACGGUACUGACGCUGAGACGCGAAAGCGUGGGGAGCGAACAGG
rnacentral:rRNA from 1 species